rnacentral:rRNA from 1 species
UACGUAGGGUGCGAGCGUUGUCCGGAAUUACUGGGCGUAAAGAGCUCGUAGGUGGUUUGUCACGUUGUCCGUGAAAACUCACAGCUUAACUGUGGGCGUGCGGGCGAUACGGGCAGACUGGAGUACUGUAGGGGAGACCGGAAUUCCUGGUGUAGCGGUGGAAUGCGCAGAUAUCAGGAGGAACACCGGUGGCGAAGGCGGGUCUCUGGGCAGUAACUGACGCUGAGGAGCGAAAGCGUGGGGAGCGAACAGG